AAGAGAGUGACAGAGUGGUUAUGUGACUGAUUUGAAAUUGGUUUAUGGGGGUUCAAUUCCUUUUUCUCUUG
rnacentral:tRNA from 1 species